GUGGGGAAUAUUGGACAAUGGGCGAAAGCCUGAUCCAGCCAUGCCGCGUGUGUGAAGAAGGUCUUCGGAUUGUAAAGCACUUUAAGUUGGGAGGAAGGGCAGUAAGUUAAUACCUUGCUGUUUUGACGUUACCGACAGAAUAAGCACCGGCUAACUUCGUGCCAGCAGCCGCGGUAAUACGAAGGGUGCAAGCGUUAAUCGGAAUUACUGGACGUAAAGCGCGCGUAGGUGGUUUUGUAAGUUGGAGGUGAAAUCCCCGGGCUCAACCUGGGAACUGCCUCCAAAACUGCAUGACUAGAGUACGGUAGAGGGUAGUGGAAUUUCCUGUGUAGCGGUGAAAUGCGUAGAUAUAGGAAGGAACACCAGUGGCGAAGGCGACUACCUGGACUGAUACUGACACUGAGGUGCGAAAGCGUGGGGAGCAAACAGGAUUAGAUACCCCAGUAGUCC
rnacentral:rRNA from 1 species